UUGGGCGGAGGAAUAUUUUUAAAGUGUGGAAACUAAUAUGGUUGUAUGUUUUGCUGUAAACUGAAAUCAAUUGAAGUCGUUCAAACCAAUCCUACAUGUGUUACUGUCUCUGCCCAGUAGGAGGCAGGCUUCACCUGCAUAAUGAUGUGGCACCCCGACUGUCUAUUUCAGGAUGAUUCAAAUAUUUACAAGGAUAGAAUCACUUUCAUAUUAAGUAAAGGGAGAGCAUAAGAGAGAAAGAAAGAUGUGGAGAUUUGGCAAAAUACAUUCUCUUAUACCUCAAUGGAAAGAUGUGGUAUAGAUUGGGGUGACCUUGUUUAACCCUCUCUGCCUCAUUAGCACCAUAACAACUUGUCUGUGCUAAUUUAGGGUCUCCACAUAGGGUGUGACAUCACAGUGUUUCCUGUUGGCAUGCGGCCAGCCUGUGUUUGUGUCCAAAAGCAGUAGAGGGUGGAGGGUUUCUACUCUCUCUCUCUCUCUCUCUCUCUCUCUCUCUCUCUCUCUCACGCAGUGUGCUGUGAAGAAGAGGCCAUCUUUAAAGGAAACUGCUUCUCGUCGGGUCAAAGGGGAGUGGUUUUUCCCACACUGCAGCUGGGGACACUCUGGGGACAGUGUGACAUGCACAGGACACAUAAAAAAAAUGCCUGUUUAAAGUGUAAGGAGUUCAGAAAGCAAGCUGUAAAACAUAUGAGGUGGUCAAUGAGGGGAUGAGAACAGGAGGAAACACGAUUUCACAAACAGGAUCAGCAUGCCUCCAAAGGGAAUGUUAAUGUUGCUGUUGUUGGUGUGCGUGUGCAUGUGUGGACGCGCGUGGGUGUGAAUUUGGGUGUUUGCAGGAGUGCAUGCAUGGAUACUGUGUAUUUCCAUACAAGGUCAGGUGUAUGUAAGGUAUUAUAAUGAUUUAACUGCACAUCUCAGCCCAUGAGAAGCACACUUUGUCAUUGACCACAGUAUGACCUGUGAAUCUGUAUGGAAGCCAUCAUAGAAUAAAAGAAAGAGAGCUGUGUAGGGAUGAAACGGUUACCGGUUUCCCGAUCAACCACAGUAAAAUUCCCGACGAUUAGUAUUACCGUAUCAAAUUUGAAUUAUCAUUAAAAACCGUGUUUGAUUGCCACGGUUUGGAAAAACUGGCGGUAAAUACUGUCCAGCAUCAACCAAAUUUAGCACCCGGUCUGACGCAGGCGCAGCAUGCAACGUGGGUUUUGUUUUAUGUGAAUACAUGACGGAAGGCAGUGACAGCACUCGGGAGAUUUUUCAGCCUUCCAAGAGGAACCACAUCUGAAGUGUGGUCCUUUCACAAGAGUGUUGAGGGGAAACUUCAUCGAAGAUGAUCACCUUGUCUGCAGAACAACAACCCCAAAAAAAUCGCUGCGAAAGGGCGCAACACUUCAAAUCUCUUGGGUCAAUCUUCAUGACCACCACCCCACUACUUUAUAGCGAAUGCAAGAGAUGGACGUGCAGCAGGCAAACCCAGUGAUGCUACUGGUCCCUCCUCGUCUACAGUUGUGACACAGACACUCUAGCAAGCAUUUAAAAAGGCAGGCUGCUUAUGCACCCACAUCAACAACAACAACAACAACAACAACAAAAAUGCUCAAGACCUCAACUGUAGCCCUUUCAUAUUACAUUGCAAAGGACGUGAUGCCAUUUCAAAUUGUUGAGAGGCCUGGCUUUCUGAGGCUGAUGAAGGUUGCCGUGCCUCACUACAAAGUGAGUGCUGCUAAUUGUAUUAGUUGUUUAUUUGAUUUUGUUUGCUUACUUAAGGUUGUGCUCAUUUGAACCUGUGCUAGGGGAACUUCUACCUGUCAUGGCCACAUGGUGCCAUCUUUAAUGUUGUUACUUUAGUGUUUAUGCCCACAAAAAAGUGCACAGUGCUGCUAAUUUGAUUUGUCGUUUGUUGGUUUUCAAUAUAAAACUUGGUGAAAUGA